rnacentral:lncRNA from 1 species
AUUAUUUUUUAUUGAUCAUUUUUUUUUGUUCGAUGUGAGCAAAACCAAUUCUACACAUUCAGUUAUGUCACAUUUAAGUGUAGGACUAUCAACUAGUUUUUUUCUUUAUUCAAAAGAAAAUAAUUCAAAUUUUGUUACUGCACUUUUUAACUUUUUUAUUAUCUUAUACUUAGAAAACGAAGAAAUUUUAAAAGGAUCGUUGAUGAAAAAUAAAAAAAUAGAACAGUUAGAACAAAACGAAAAUUUUAAUCAUAACAUCUUUUGUGAUAUAUUAAACAACCUUACAGCUAGCUAUGAUAAUGCCGAUAUUAUAGAUAAAUCCUUUUGCGAAUGUAUAAAUUUUUUGUUAAACAUUUUAAAUAUUCAACAUCCGGACGUUCUUACAAGUUUAAAAGACGCAUACUCUAGAACAAAACAUAUAAAAAGACUUGACGUUUGUAACCAAAUUAUUAACAUUUUAACAUAAAACCGUUUUUUUGCUUUAACUAAGAAUUUUUUUUUUUUUUUACUUUAAUUUUAAAUACAAUAUGAGUAAAAAAAAAAGUAUUUUAUUUUAUACUUUUUGUCCUAUACAAUUUAUACACAUUUUUAUAAUAAAUAAUUUUUUUUUUCACCA